CCUACGGGAGGCAGCAGUGGGGAAUAUUGCACAAUGGGGGAAACCCUGAUGCAGCGACGCCGCGUGGGUGAGGAAGUAUUUCGGUAUGUAAAGCUCUAUCAGCAGGGAAGAUAAUGACGGUACCUGGCUAAGAAGCACCGGCUAAAUACGUGCCAGCAGCCGCGGUAAU
rnacentral:rRNA from 1 species